AUGUGCGUGUGCGUGUGUGUGUGUAGUACGUAUGAUUUGUACGUCUUUGUACGUGUGAAUGUCUAAAUGCGAACGAUGCGUACGUAUAUAUGUCUCCUAUAAACUAGGACAACGAGAAACGCGUCCAUACGAUUUCAAUGUCUUCUUCAACUUCGACAGAACAUGUGAAAGUUCGAACGUCGAUUAGAUAGCGUUUGUAUAAUUCGUUUGAUUAUCUAAUAAAUCAAAUAUUUGACGGACGAGCUGUGGGCUAAUACCAUUUAUUGCCUUAUACCAUGAAGUCGAACCUGUGCCCGUACUUAUGCAAAUACCAGAACUUUUAAUUCUAUGGAAAUUUUCUGCGUCGUCAAAUUUGAUUAACAAAGUGGUCAUCUUUGCUGCGAACACUUCGGCCACGAACGCCUGUAACAAGAUACUUGUAUAAUAAAUGAAAUAUAUCCGUGUCUCCGGAUAAUAGCUUUGUAACAUUUGGAAUAAAAUUAAAAUAACACACUUCAUUUAAUGCUAGCCAAGG